AGCUCCAAUAGCGUAUAUUAAAGUUGCUGCAGUUAAAAAGCUCGUAGUUGGAUCUCGGGGUACCUGGUCUAGCCGGUAUAGCUCACGCUAAAACUGUUCUGCCCCCCCAACGUGCGGUAUUCGUCUCCGGGUGCACUUCAUUGGGUGCUCGUGCGGGGCCUCGUAGUUACUGUGAAAAAAUUAGAGUGUUCAAAGCAGGCUCAUAUGUUCGGAUAGUCGUGCAUGGAAUAACUGAAUACGGGACUGGAGCUUUUGAGUUGGUAUCGGCGACUGGUCAAAUGAUUAAGAGGGACUGCCGGGGGCAUUGGUAUGGCGGGGUUAGAGGUGAAAUUCUUGGAUACUCGACAGACCAACAAAAGCGAAAGCAUUUGCCAAGAAUGUCUUCA
rnacentral:rRNA from 1 species